UCUGAGUUACAAUCCUUAAUUUUCUCAGAAAUGUAUGAAAUAUACACAUGACAGAUUUUUACAUACAAAAUAUAUAAUAGAAUAGAAAUAUAAACAAAUAGAAAUACAAUAAGCAAUAUAAAUAAAAAUAAAGAUAAAUACAGUAAGGCAUUCUUUUAGCAGAUUAUUUGGGACUUUUAUUUUGAAAUACGCUUUCGACCCUCUCCGACUGACUUACCGGAAGUUGCAUAAUGUUGCCAGCAACUGUUGCUCGCUUCACACAGGUUGCCAACUCCACCUUUGUUUCCAACUACAGUAGCAUCACGCAGCAGUAGCAGCAGCAGCAAGAACACCAGCAAUAGUGAAGAUGGAAAUAUCAGCAGUGAUGACAGGAACUACAACAGCAACACCAGCAGCAAUAACACUGGAACUGGGAACAGGGACAGCGACUAGAGCAGCGAUGUGCCUCUAUCAGACAGGGAUAGGAUGAUCUUCACCAUUUUAGAAGAAAUCAAGGGACUGCAUCUGGACGAAUUCCGGUUUCCUCUUGCCACCAAGGAGGAUAUUGACAGAGUGGAGAGGAUGUUAAUGGACCAGGCUACAGAAAAGGCACUAAUCACACACAUUUGUAGUCUUGGUGGCAUCAGCCGACGACAUCAUCAGGCGCAUGAUGAGUCGUGUGUUGACCAACAAUCUGGCCAGAGGAUACAACUGGCUGGGGCGGGGAAACAAGAGCCCCGUUUCUGUCCUUGCACUGGCGAGAGUAAUCAAAGCUGCAACCAAGAAGUCUUCUGUCACGGAGGCAGACACAGAGUCCAGGAUGAGGAGCUGGCUAAAGUACAGUGGAGACAGGGAUGGGGGGUGUCAGAAAAAAAUAUACAAAUGCUGCUACAAGUGCUGCUGCUAGUGCUGCCAGUGACAGUGAAGAAGAUUAAGAGAUUGUUUGAGCCAUCUUUUUGUAUUCUAGACAGAUAUUUGAACACAAAUAAACUUAAUAAACACUGUUGAAUGCAAAACUAGUUUUUUCUUUUUUUUUUCUUUCUCAAAUUCAAUACGUUAUAGCUUUGGGCAAUGUCAUUCAUGUUGUAAUGUUGCAAACAUAAACUGUGCAUACAAACCUGGUAGCAUGCUGACGUUGGCCCAACGUAGUUUUGUCCAUCGACCCAAUGUUGGCCCACCAUUGGCAG